AACUCCUUAAUCAACAAAUUUUACUUAUAUCUUUAAGAAUAUAUUAUUGCUACUCGAUAACAUUUAGAACAUUGAAAUUAUUAGCAAAAUAAUAUGCUUUUUUCAAUUAAGACAAGAUCUAUCUGUAAAUCAUUUUUAUAAUUGCAUGCUCAAUAUUAGUUACGUUGUAUUAUAAUCAGACUAAGCAGUUUGGAAGAACUUAGAUGUUCUUUAUUGGUUGUAAACAACGGGUUUACGUGAUUUAAUAGACUACUGCUCGGUUGCAUGAAAACAGUUCCGUAAAUUGUUGGGCCGAUAAUAUAUUGAUAGUAUAAUAAUGGAAGUUAAAGAACAGAUUGCGUUUCAUGAAAGAUGUAUAAAUUGCAUCAAAUAAUCAGGUUAUAACCAAUUAUCAGGUAUUCAGUAGUACAAGGUUUUCCCCAUAGAUAUAUUAAUACGUCUAUGGUUUUUCCCAUUUGUUCUUGUCCGUGGCUUUGAUUUUUUCAAUUCUUUUUUUUUUGUCCGAGUGAUUUACGUUACAUUACAAUUUUUCUAUUGUAUUUUAUACUUUUUUACGUCAUUGAAUUGAUUUAAUUUACUUUUCUAUAGUAAUUUAUUGCAUUAAAUAAAUAAAUAAAUUAAAUAAAUAUUUUUUAUUGAUUUAAUUUAAAAAUAUUAUUUAUAUAAUUAAUAUGGAAGACGACAAAAAAAGGGGCAAGAACUUUUCUGAAACAGAAAAAUCAAUUUUAAUUGAUCUUAUUUUGCCAUACAAAAAUAUUAUUGAAAAUAUCAAGAUCGAUGGCGCAACAAAUAAAGAAAAAGAUGCAGCAUGGAGUGAAAUUGCAAAUUCAUACAAUUGCCAACAAAUAUAACUGGCAUCAGAACCAUUCGCCAAUUGAAAUCUGUGUAUGAUGUUCAAAAAAGAAAGGCUCGAAAAGACAAAAGUGAUUAUAAGGUUGACUUUUUUUCUCUCGCAAUGUCAUCGUCUUGUCCGUGUCAAUUAUAGUCGUUCCUGUGUCACUUUCCUCGACCGGCGACAACGUCUGUUCUUCCACGGGGCACACCACCGGCGGUACCAACUCAACAUUUUCCAUCUC